UACGUAGGGGGCAAGCAUUGUCCGGAUUUAUUGGGCGUAAAGAGCGUGUAGGCGGCCAGGUAGGUCUGCUGUGAAAACUCGAGGCUUAACCUCGAGCUGUCGGCGGAAACCAUCUGGCUAGAGUCCGGAAGAGGAGAGUGGAAUUCCUGGUGUAGCGGUGAAAUGCGCAGAUAUCAGGAAGAACACCUAUGGCGAAGGCAGCUCUGUGGGACGGUACUGACGCUGAGCGACGAAGCGUGGGGAGCAAACAGG
rnacentral:rRNA from 1 species